GUUUUAUUGCUCGCGAAUUUGCAAUAACUGCAUUUAUCAGGCAUCACACGUUACGUCACACGCUUAUGCUUGUAUCUGCGGUCCCUCGCGCUGUAUCCAUGAUUUAAAGCGGAAUAAAACUCUUAACUCCUUUGUAAGGAAAAAGUCAAACAGUGUAAGUUGUUGGCAUGUGCUAUUUGAAUUGAAAUGAAGUGUAAUGGUAUUAUUUUGCUUACUUCUCUUGAUGAAUAAUUAGCAAGUUUAAUGGAACUUGAAAAUAUUAGUUAUCCAGACAAAUGUGCUCUUGUUUUCAGUGUAUUUUUAUAACUCUUUUGUAAUGUCUUUGUUAUCAGAGCCCUUCAAAUUAAAAAUAGUGAUGGUGAUCUUGUCAAUGCUGAGAUUUUAAUGCAUCAACAGCCAUUACAUCUGGCUGGAUCAGGAUUGAACAAGAAUCAGACAGCAAGGGUUGUCACAUCAGAAACGUAAUAACACAAACAUAAGAAACUUCACAGGGCUGUGACAGUGACAGUAUUUUACCACCGCGAUGGUAAUGCACCAAUUCACCACUGUGGUGCGGUGGUUAUAGAAUGUGUUUGUGUGAGGGGGGAGGCGGCAAUUUCUUUUUCCGCCGGUGGGUGCUCAUCACAACCUCAAGCUUUACUUCGCAAUGACAGGUGCUCUAGAGUCUGGAGCGCUCAAAGGCUUUGAAGAGGUGGAAAGUGGCGCAGUCACGUUUUCGUGUGAAUUGUGAAGUUAAAGGCAGAUCACCGUGCAACUUGGUGAAGUCAUGUGUCUUUCCAGAUGGCCAAAUCUGUACCCCUCAAAAAAACUUUAUUAAAUGCCAUGAUAGACAAGAUGAGCCUUAAGAGGAGAUUUGGGAAGAUGCUGUUUCAUAAGUCUUUGCUUUGCCAGAUUAUUUGUGGUUGGGGUGUCUGCCAACGUGAUGCCUUGCUGGUCUGGUUUGAGUUUGAAGUCUCUCACAGACAGUCCAGAAGGUCUGGAGUCCAUCUUAGCUUUCAUUGGUAAGUGACUGCACAAGAGGCUGUUUGACCCACACGUAAGAUGCUGUCAUCAUUUUUUAAGUGCAUGAGCCAGAAUGGACGGGUGGUGGUGGCCAUAAGAAGACUGUCAACUAAACUAGGGUGACCAUACGUGCCCUUCUUCCCGGACCCGUCCUGUCCAGUCUUUUGGAACUCGUAUUUGUCGACCGCAUACGUCACAGAGGAUUAUUAUUAUUAUUACAGAAAAGCAACCGUUACAUUUUAAGGUAAGAAGAAUGAAACUACGAUUGUAUAUCUUAUGUUUUUAACUGAAUGGCGUAUGCGGUCAACAAAUAUGACUUCCGGAAGACGCACCGAAAUCCUGGACGGGAUGCGUCCGGGAAGAAUGGCACGUAUGGUCACCCUAACUAAACCAACAACAAAAUUCAUAUUUGCAGUUAUAAAUAAAAUGACUUUUAAACCUGAUUUUGUUUUCUUAUUUUAUGAUUUCAUUCUAUAUUUGGAAUAUUCCAUUUUUGCACUACUAACUGGAAACUGUUUGAAAGAAUGUGUUUUUAUUAAAAGACAAAUUUCAAAGGUGAAUCAUAUGCCGGCUGGGAUAUCAAAAUAGCAUUAAAAUGACAUCAACAUCAUAACAUCCUGAUAUCAAAUAGAUGUAGAAUUGACAUCAAAAUGACAUCAGCAGGGGUCAAAAUCUUGACAUCAAAUUGACAUCAACACUUUGACGUCAAAAUGACUUUCAUUUUUGACCUAUUCUGUGACGUAAUUUUGACGUCGAUGUUUGAUGUCAAAUUGAUGUUAAAUUGACAUCAAAUGCCCGCUGGGA